rfam:Microbial mat metagenome hsmat07_BHWS8819_y1, whole genome shotgun sequence.
UCAAUCCUGCCCGGAAGGGCCAGCCCCCCGCCGGAAGCGAGUCUUGCCUAGUCAGCAGUGAUGCUGGCGGGAAGCGUAGACAGCGACUGUUAAAGGUAUGUAUUGAGCCUCGAAAGAUGUUUAUGUUCACUGGAGUCUUUGUUUUUAACAUUGCAGGGACAACACCAAAGCAGCGAUUACGGCGAGUUGCGGCGGUCCGGUCGGGGUCGGAGACCA